rnacentral:rRNA from 1 species
AGGCGCGAAAACUUUACAAUGCGGGAAACCGUGAUAAGGGAAUCUCGAGUGCCAGCAUAUAAUGUUGGCUGUCCAGAUGCCUAAAAAGCAUCUGUUAGCAAGGGCCGGGCAAGACCGGUGCCAGCCGCCGCGGUAACACCGGCGGCCCGAGUGGUAACCGCUAUUAUUGGGUCUAAAGGGUCUGUAGCCGGCCAGGUAAGUCCCUUGGGAAAUCUGGCAGCUCAACUGUCAGGCUGCUAGGGGAUACUGUUUGGCUUGGGACCGGGAGAGGUGAGAGGUACCUUGGGGGUAGGGGUGAAAUCUUGUGAUCCUCGGGGGACCACCAGUGGCGAAGGCGUCUCACCAGAACGGGUCCGACGGUAAGGGACGAAAGCUAGGGGCACGAACCGGAUUAGAUACCCGGGUAGUCCUAGCCGUAAACGAUGCUCGCUAGGUGUCAGUCACGGUGCGACCGUGAUUGGUGCCGUAGGGAAGCCGUGAAGCGAGCCACCUGGGAAGUAUGGCCGCAAGGCUGAAACUUAAAGGAAUUGGCGGGGGAGCACUACAACGGGUGGAGCCUGCGGUUUAAUUGGAUUCAACGCCGGAAAUCUCACCGGGGGCGACAGCAAUAUGAAGGUCAGGCUGAAGACCUUACCCGAUUAGCUGAGAGGUGGUGCAUGGCCGUCGUCAGUUCGUACUGUGAAGCAUA